AUCCAGCCAGUGACGAGUCCUAAAUAGGACGAAAUGCGCAUCCUGGAU
rfam:Trichobilharzia regenti genome assembly, scaffold: TRE_scaffold0031048